UUGCCGCCGUCAGCCACCACCUCGUCGGCGUCGGAGGCCACCGCCCACCGUCCUAUACCCUCCACUCCAUCCAAGGAGGAGAAAACGAACCCAGCCUCACCCAGGCUCGUUCAGACGCCGACCAACGCGAUCGCUUCCUCCGACGCCUCCCGCGCUCUCCACGAACAACUGGUAUGAGCUUCGUUCGCCUCGGCCGCUCGACUCGCCGUCGUCCAGCCGCGGUUCUCUUUCUCCUCAAAGGCAAUGUAUCUCCUCCGGUCCCCACCCCUGUGAUUCAAUCGUUUCGUAUUAGGUAUCGCUGCAGUGCCAAACGGUGAUCGGCCGGGGCCGCCUGGUUCAAACUUCAAAGCAAACUUCGAUUCGCAUCUCGCCGGUUGAGUUUC
rnacentral:lncRNA from 1 species